rnacentral:tRNA from 1 species
UCCCAGUUAGUACAAUGGUCAGUAUAUAUCGCUCUCAAUCUCGAGAUUCGAUCCGAUAAGAUCAGGGUUCGAUUCCCUGGCCGGGAA